GACGAACGCUGGCGGCGUGCCUAAUACAUGCAAGUUGAGCGCUGAAGGUUGGUACUUGUUCCAACUGGAUGAGCAGCGAACGGGUGAGUAACGCGUGGGUAAUCUGCCUUUGAGCGGGGGACAACAUUUGGAAACGAAUGCUAAUACCGCAUAAAAACUUUAAACACAAGUUUUAAGUUUGAAAGAUGCAAUUGCAUCACUCAAAGAUGAUCCCGCGUUGUAUUAGCUAGUUGGUGAGGUAAAGGCUCACCAAGGCGAUGAUACAUAGCCGACCUGAGAGGGGGAUCGGCCACAUUGGGACUGGGACACGGCCCAAACUCCUACGGGAGGCAGCAGGAGGGAAUCUUCGGCAAUGGACGAAAGUCUGAACGAGCAACGCCGCGGGAGUGAAGAAGGUUUUCGGAUCGUAAAACUCUGUUGGUAGAGAAGAACGUUGGUGAGAGUGGAAAGCUCAUCAAGUGACGGUAACUACCCAGAAAGGGACGGCUAACUACGUG
rnacentral:rRNA from 1 species